GACGAACGCUGGCGGCGCGCCUAACACAUGCAAGUCGAACGAGCGAGAGAGAGCUUGCUUUCUCGAGCGAGUGGCGAGCGGGUGAGUAACGCGUGAGGAACCUGCCUCAAAGAGGGGGACAACAGUUGGAAACGACUGCUAAUACCGCAUAAGCCCACGGCUCGGCAUCGAGCCGGGGGAAAAGGAGCAAUCCGCUUUGAGAUGGCCUCGCGUCCGAUUAGCUAGUUGGUGAGGUAACGGCCCACCAAGGCGACGAUCGGUAGCCGGACUGAGAGGUUGAACGGCCACAUUGGGACUGAGACACGGCCCAGACUCCUACGGGAGGCAGCAGUGGGGAAUAUUGCAAAAUGGGGGAAACCCUGAUGCAGCGACGCCGCGUGGAGGAAGAAGGUCUUCGGAUUGUAAACUCCUGUUGUUGGGGAAGAUAAUGACGGUACCCAACAAGGAAGUGACGGCUAACUACGUG
rnacentral:rRNA from 1 species